rnacentral:rRNA from 1 species
GACGAACGCUGGCGGCGUGCCUAAUACAUGCAAGUAGAACGCACAGGAUGCACCGUAGUUUACUACACCGUAUUCUGUGAGUUGCGAACGGGUGAGUAACGCGUAGGUAACCUGCCUGGUAGCGGGGGAUAACUAUUGGAAACGAUAGCUAAUACCGCAUAAGAACAUUUACUGCAUGGUAGAUGUUUAAAAGGUGCAAAAGCAUCACUACCAGAUGGACCUGCGUUGUAUUAGCUAGUUGGUGAGGUAACGGCUCACCAAGGCAACGAUACAUAGCCGACCUGAGAGGGUGAUCGGCCACACUGGGACUGAGACACGGCCCAGACUCCUACGGGAGGCAGCAGUAGGGAAUCUUCGGCAAUGGGGGGAACCCUGACCGAGCAACGCCGCGUGAGUGAAGAAGGUUUUCGGAUCGUAAAGCUCUGUUGUUAAGGAAGAACGUGUGUGAGAGUGAAAAA